AGCUCCAAUAGCGUAUACUAAUGUUGUUGCAGUUAAAAGCUCGUAGUCGGAUUUCAGUUAGUUGUGUAUUGUCAUAUUACGAGAGUGCACAAUCAACUUCUUUGAUGCAAAACUUCAUCUGAUUAAUUUCCGGUGUUCGUCUAGCAUCUCUUUUACUUUGAGAAAAUUAGAGUGUUCAAAGCAGGUUCUUGCCUGAAUAUUACUCUUGGAAUAAUAUUAUAGGACUUUGGUCUAAAAUUGUUGGUGUUUUUGGACCGGAGUAAUGAUUGAUAGGGACGGUUGGGGUGAUUCAUAUUGCGAAGCGAGAGGUGGAAUUCUUGGACCUUUGUAGGAUGAACAACUGCGAAAGCAUUUCACUAGGACGUUCCCG
rnacentral:rRNA from 1 species